rnacentral:rRNA from 1 species
UACGUAGGGGGCUAGCGUUGUCCGGAUUUAUUGGGCGUAAAGAGCGUGUAGGCGGCCAGAUAGGUCCUCUGUGAAAACUCGAGGCUUAACCUCGAGAUGUCGGUGGAAACCAUUUGGCUAGAGUCCGGAAGAGGAGAGUGGAAUUCCUGGUGUAGCGGUGAAAUGCGCAGAUAUCAGGAAGAACACCCGUGGCGAAGGCGGCUCUCUGGGACGGUACUGACGCUGAGACGCGAAAGCGUGGGGAGCGAACAGG